rnacentral:rRNA from 1 species
ACGUACACUCCUGCGGGAGGCAGCAGUAGGGAAUCUUCCACAAUGGGUGCAAACCUGAUGGAGCAAUGCCGCGUGAGUGAAGAAGGUCUUCGGAUCGUAAAGCUCUGUUGUUAGAGAAGAACACGUGCUAGGUAACUACUAGCGCCUUGACGGUAUCUAACCAGAAAGUCACGGCUAACUACGUGCCAGCAGCCGCGGUAAUACGUAGGUGACAAGCGUUGUCCGGAUUUAUUGGGCGUAAAGGGAGCGCAGGCGGUCUGUUUAGUCUAAUGUGAAAGCCCACGGCUUAACCGUGGAACGGCAUUGGAAACUGACAGACUUGAAUGUAGAAGAGGAAAAUGGAAUUCCAAGUGUAGCGGUGGAAUGCGUAGAUAUUUGGAGGAACACCAGUGGCGAAGGCGAUUUUCUGGUCUAACAUUGACGCUGAGGCUCGAAAGCGUGGGGAGCGAACAGGAUUAGAAACCCCUGUAGUCCCAUGA